rnacentral:lncRNA from 1 species
ACAGCGACGUCUAUAACCAUCUGGUAGUGGAUCGCUCAGAGCCGCAUGGAGUUUGUUACGGAGAGUAGUGGCGUCAGGGGUCGUUCAGGGCCAUGUGGAGCUCGUUGCGGAGAGUGAAGUGGUGUCCGUUGUCGGGACUUGCCAGAGAGUGAUGGAGCUGCAUGAAAUUCGUUGCAGGGAGUGGAGCAGGAGGGCGGCUCUUGUCGCGACUCGUCAGAGAGUGGUGGAGCUGCAUGGAAUCCGUUGUAGGGAGUGGAGCAGGAGCACGGCUCUUGUCGUGACUUGUCAGAGAGCUCUGAUCCGUCGGCUGGAGCUCGGCUGGGACAUCUGAUGGAGCGAAAUGGCUCUCUAUUGUUGGUCUGAGGAAGCUCGGAUGUCUCCGAAGCUGCUGACGAGUCUAUUGUUGUCGGGUGGCUUAGGCGUUGAUACUACGGGUGGGAGUCACCUGCUACAGAAGCUCGGAUAGAAACUUUUUGUUGGCGAAGCUCAGUAGGAAUCUGAUUGUUGGAGAAGUCCGUCUGGGAUUCGCCCGAUGUGGAAACUCACCUGAAGAUGAUCCAUUGGAAA